GACGAACGCUGGCGGCGUGCUUAACACAUGCAAGUCGAACGGAAAGGCCCUGCUUUUGUGGGGUGCUCGAGUGGCGAACGGGUGAGUAACACGUGAGUAACCUGCUCUUGACUUUGGGAUAACUUCAGGAAACUGGGGCUAAUACCGGAUAGGAGCUCCUGCUGCAUGGUGGGGGUUGGAAAGUUUCGGCGGUUGGGGAUGGACUCGCGGCUUAUCAGCUUGUUGGUGGGGUAGUGGCUUACCAAGGCUUUGACGGGUAGCCGGCCUGAGAGGGUGACCGGCCACAUUGGGACUGAGAUACGGCCCAGACUCCUACGGGAGGCAGCAGUGGGGAAUAUUGCACAAUGGACGGAAGCCUGAUGCAGCAACGCCGCGUGCGGGAUGACGGCCUUCGGGUUGUAAACCGCUUUCGCCUGUGACGAAGCGUGAGUGACGGUAAUGGGUAAAGAAGCACCGGCUAACUACGUG
rnacentral:rRNA from 1 species